rnacentral:lncRNA from 1 species
CCCCCACCCUGCACUGAUGACUACUGGGGACACCCCAGCCACUGCCAAUGGAAUGAUCGAGCUCUACUGGAUGCCUUUGCAUUUCAAAAGAGAAUCAUGUUGAUUCUUCAUGAGCAGUAUUGCAGAUGAGUCACCUGCACCAUUGACACAAUGAAGGGAACAUCUCUGCAUGAGACUAGCCAUCUAUAUUGCUUUUCAAUCUCACCCAAAAG